GAGGAAGACAUAUUACAAUAGGAAUUGUCAUUUUAGACAGCACAAAUUAAAUUUCAUAUCCAUCCGCACAUACACAGACACAAGCAGACACAAAAUGUCUGCUUGUGUCUGUGUAUGUGCGGAUGGAUAUGAGUGUGAGUGCGAGUGUAUACCUGUCCUUUUUCCCC